GGUGAGAUGGCCGAGUUGGUUAUGGCGCCAGGUUAAGGUUACCUUAACAUGUUUCCUGGUGGAGCAAUCCUCAUGGGUUCGAAUCCCAUUCUCAUCA
rnacentral:tRNA from 2 species